AUUCAUGUAGAUUAAGAUCAAAAUUGUUAGGCUGUUAACCUUGAGAUGAAGUUUAUUUCCAUGAAUU
rnacentral:tRNA from 1 species